rnacentral:rRNA from 1 species
GAUGAACGCUGGCGGCGUGCCUAAUACAUGCAAGUCGAGCGAACAGAUGAGGAGCUUGCUCCUCUGACGUUAGCGGCGGACGGGUGAGUAACACGUGGAUAACCUACCUAUAAGACUGGGAUAACUUCGGGAAACCGGAGCUAAUACCGGAUAAUAUAUUGAACCGCAUGGUUCAAUAGUGAAAGACGGUUUUGCUGUCACUUAUAGAUGGAUCCGCGCCGCAUUAGCUAGUUGGUAAGGUAACGGCUUACCAAGGAAACGAUGCGUAGCCGACCUGAGAGGGUGAUCGGCCACACUGGAACUGAGACACGGUCCAGACUCCUACGGGAGGCAGCAGUAGGGAAUCUUCCGCAAUGGGCGAAAGCUUGACGGAGCAACGCCGCGUGAGUGAUGAGGGUCUGCGGAUCGUAAAACUCUGUUAUUAGGGAAGAACAGAUGUGUAAGUAACGAUGCUCGUCUUGACGGUACCUAAUCAGAAAGCCGCGGCUAACUACGU